GAUGAACGCUAGCGGGAGGCCUAACACAUGCAAGCCGAGCGGUAUUGUUUCUUCGGAAAUGAGAGAGCGGCGUACGGGUGCGUAACACGUGCGCAACCUGCCUUUAUCUGGGGAUAGCCUUUCGAAAGGAAGAUUAAUACUCCAUAAUAUAUUGAACGGCAUCGUUUAAUAUUGAAAGCUCCGGCGGAUAGAGAUGGGCACGCGCAAGAUUAGCUAGUUGGUGAGGUAACGGCUCACCAAGGCGAUGAUCUUUAGGGGGCCUGAGAGGGUGAUCCCCCACACUGGUACUGAGACACGGACCAGACUCCUACGGGAGGCAGCAGUGAGGAAUAUUGGUCAAUGGGUGCAAGCCUGAACCAGCCAUCCCGCGUGAAGGACGACUGCCCUAUGGGUUGUAAACUUCUUUUGUAUAGGGAUAAACCUACCCUCGAGAGGGUAGCUGAAGGUACUAUACGAAUAAGCACCGGCUAACUCCGUG
rnacentral:rRNA from 1 species